AGCUCCAAUAGCGUAUACUAAAGUUGUUGCAGUUAAAAAGCUCGUAGUUGGAUUUCUGCGAGGUUGGGGCGGCCGGUCGCCACUGGCGAUUCGCGCUAGCACCGACCCCGCAUCCUGCCGCGAUCCGUGCUACCAUUAGCUUGGUGGCGCCGGGGAUCGGCUCGAUUACUUUGAGAAAAAUAGAGUGUUCAAAGCAGGCCACACGCCUUGAAUAAGUUAGCAUGGAAUAAUGAUAAAGGACUUCGGUUCUAUUUUGUUGGUGUUCGGGACUGAAGUAAUGAUUGAUAGGGACAGUUGGGGCGGUCCGUAUUCCGUCGAGAGAGGUGAAAUUCUCAGACCAAUGGAAGACGAACCACUGCGAAAGCAUUUGCCAGGGAUGUUUUCACUGAUCAAGAACGAAAGU
rnacentral:rRNA from 1 species